rnacentral:rRNA from 1 species
GACGAACGCUGGCGGCGUGCUUAACACAUGCAAGUCGAACGGAAAGGCCCCUUUGGGGGUACUCGAGUGGCGAACGGGUGCGUAACACGUGAGUAACCUGCCCUUGACUUCGGGAUAACUUCAGGAAACUGGGGCUAAUACCGGAUAGGAAUCCUUGCUGCAUGGUCGGGGUUGGAAAGCUUCGGCGGUUUUGGCUGGACUCGCGGCUUAUCAGCUUGUUGGUGGGGUUGUGGCUUACCAAGGCUUUUACGGGUAGCCGGCCUGGGUGGGCGACCGGCCACAUUGGGACUGAGAUACGGCCGAGACUCCUACGGGAGGCAGCAGUGGGGAAUAUUGCACAAUGGGCGGAAGCCGGAUGCAGCAACGCCGCGUGCGGGAUGACGGCCUUCGGGUUGUAAACCGCUUUCAGCAGGGGCGAAGCUUGUGGUGACGGUACCUGCAGAAGAAGCACCGGCUAACUACGUG